rnacentral:rRNA from 1 species
GGUAGUCCACGCCGUAAACGAUGAAUACUAGCUGUAUGCCGUAUCGACCCGGUAUGUAGCGAAGCUAACGCGUUAAGUAUUCCGCCUGGGGAGUACGGUCGCAAGACUAAAACAUAAAGGAAUUGACGGGGACCCGCACAAGCGGUGGAUUAUGUUCUUUAAUUCGAUGAUAACCGAAGAACCUUACCAGGGUUUGACAUCCCUUGGAAUUUUCUGUGAAAGCAGAGAGUGCUUUAUUGAGCCAAGUGACAGGUGUUGCAUGGCCGUCGUCAGCUCGUGUCGUGAGA